ACCAAACCCUAAUCCCGCUACGCAGUUCUCCCUCAACCUCAGUUCCACCAUUCAGCGAUUUCACUUUGGAUCUUGAUGAUUAGUUCAAAAGGUAGAUUGUAUGAGGAUAUGAACACUUCUCUCGCCAUUGAAGAAUAUAUAAACGUUAUGGAAUAUGUCGCUGGAGGAGAGCUAUUUGACAAGUUUGUAGCGCAACGCUUCAGUGACGAUGAGAGAUAUAAUGACUUUACUUAUGUGAAAAGAUACAUUAACUGAAGAGGAAGCUUGGUUUUAUGUCGGAGAAACUGUUUUGGCAAUCGAAUCCAUUCACAAACAUAACUAUAUUCAGAGGUUAUAACAAUUUUCC